rnacentral:misc_RNA from 3 species
AACGCACCUUGCACUCCUUGGUAUUCCGAGGAGUACGCCUGUUCGAGUGUUAUGAAGCUCUCAAAACGCAAUUGGCUUAAAACCUGAUUGUUGUUUUGGAUUUGAACUUUGCCGUGUUACAACGGCUGGUUUUAAAAGCAUUAGCUGGUACUAGAACGAAUUGGUUCUACUCAACGUGAUAAUUAUCUGAUCGUUGAGGACAUUCCUUUCACGAGGAAUGGCCAUAGUAAAUUCAAUGGACUGCUUCUAACUUGGCUUUAAUUCUUAAUUGGAUUAACCACUUUUCAAAUCUGACCUCGAAUCAGGUGGGACUACCCGCUGAACUUAA